GACGAACGCUGGCGGCGUGCUUAACACAUGCAAGUCGAGCGGUAAGGCCCUUUCGGGGGUACACGAGCGGCGAACGGGUGAGUAACACGUGGGUGACCUGCCUUUAGCUCUGGGAUAAGCCUGGGAAACUGGGUCUAAUACCGGAUACGACUCCGCGGUGCAUGCUGUGGGGUGGAAAGCCUUGUGCGGCUGGAGAUGGGCCCGCGGCCUAUCAGCUUGUUGGUGGGGUGAUGGCCACCAAGGCGACGACGGUAGCCGGCCUGAGAGGGCGACCGGCCGACACUGGGACUGAGACACGGCCCAGACUCCUACGGGAGGCAGCAGUGGGGAAUCUUGCGCAAUGGGCGAAAGCCUGACGCAGCGACGCCGCGUGAGGGAUGACGGCCUCGG
rnacentral:rRNA from 1 species